CAGCCGCCGCGGUAAUACGGAGGGUGCGAGCGUUAAUCGGAAUAACUGGGCGUAAAGGGCACGCAGGCGGUGACUUAAGUGAGGUGUGAAAGCCCCGGGCUUAACCUGGGAAUUGCAUUUCAUACUGGGUCGCUAGAGUACUUUAGGGAGGGGUAGAAUUCCACGUGUAGCGGUGAAAUGCGUAGAGAUGUGGAGGAAUACCGAAGGCGAAGGCAGCCCCUUGGGAAUGUACUGACGCUCAUGUGCGAAAGCGUGGGGAGCAAACAGGAUUAGAGACCCGCGUAGUCCCUGUCUCUUAUAC
rnacentral:rRNA from 1 species